CAUUGAUAAAGGCAAACUUAUCGAAAGAUAAGGACGCAAAACCACGGGUCUAAAGCGGAUGCCAAGAUAGCCGGGUUACCAUG
rnacentral:ncRNA from 1 species